AUACGGAGGAUGCGAGCGUUAUCCGGAUUUAUUGGGUUUAAAGGGUGCGUAGGCGGCCUUGUAAGUCAGCGGUGAAAUUUUGCAGCUCAACUGUAAAAGUGCCUUCGAAACCGGUUUCCUUGAGUGUAGAUGAAGUAGGCGGAAUUUGUGGUGUAGCGGUGAAAUGCAUAGAUAUCACGAGGAACUCCGAUUGCGCAGGCAGCUUACUAAACUACUACUGACGCUCAGGCACGAAGGCGUGGGGAUCAAACAGGAUUAGAUACCCUGGUAGUCCACGCAGUAAACGAUGAUUACUAGCUGUUUGCGAUACAAUGUAAGCGGCUGAGCGAAAGCGUUAAGUAAUCCACCUGGGGAGUACGUUCGCAAGAAUGAAACUCAAAUGAAUUGACGGGG
rnacentral:rRNA from 1 species